rnacentral:rRNA from 1 species
UACGUAGGGGGCAAGCGUUGUCCGGAAGUCAUUGGGCGUAAAGCGCGUGUAGGCGGUUUGGUAAGUCCGCUCUGAAAGUCCGGGGCUCAACCCCGGGAGGCGGGUGGAUACUGUCAGACUAGAGUGCGGAAGAGGCGAGUGGAAUCCCGGUGUAGCGGUGAAAUGCGCAGAUAUCGGGAGGAACACCAAUGCGAAGGCAGCUCGCUGGGACGUGACUGACGCUGAGACGGCGAAAGCGUGGGGAGCAAACAGGG